rnacentral:rRNA from 1 species
AACGAACGCUGGCGGCGCGCCUAAUACAUGCAAGUCGAACGAGAAGCUGUAGCAAUACAGUUGUACAGUGGCGAACGGGUGAGGAAUACAUGGGUGACCUACCCUCGAGUGGGGAAUAACCAGCCGAAAGGUUGGCUAAUACCGCGUACGCUUCCCAGUCUACGGGUUGGGAAGGAAAGCGAUGCCGUGGGUAUCGCGCUCAAGGUUGGGCUCAUGUCCUAUCAGCUUGNGGUGGGGUAACGGCUCACCAAGGCAACGACGGGUAGCUGGUCUGAGAGGACGAUCAGCCACACUGGCACUGCGACACGGGCCAGACUCCUACGGGAGGCAGCAGUAAGGAAUAUUGCGCAAUGGGACGAAAGCCUGACGCAGCGACGCCGCGUGGGGGA